GGGAAUAACUAGCCGAAAGGUUAGCUAAUACCGCGUACGCUUCCCGGACUGCGGUUCGGGGAGGAAAGCGAUACCGUGGGUAUCGCGCUCUUGGAUGGGCUUAUGUCCUAUCAGCUUGUUGGUGAGGUAACGGCUCACCAAGGCUUCGACGGGUAGCUGGUCUGAGAGGACGAUCAGCCACACUGGCACUGCGACACGGGCCAGACUCCUACGGGAGGCAGCAGUAAGGAAUAUUGCGCAAUGGGCGACAGCCUGACGCAGCGACGCCGCGUGGGGGACGAAGGUCUUCGGAUUGUAAACCCCUUUCGGGAGGGAAGAUGGGACGGGUAACCGUUCGGACGGUACCUCCAGAAGAAGCCACGUGCU
rnacentral:rRNA from 1 species